rnacentral:lncRNA from 1 species
GGAAAGCAACCAAACAAUCUUCUUAGACUUAAUUCAUCACGUGCAACAAGUUGCACCAACCUGGAUCCUUAACUGGAGCCAAAUAGUUGCUGAACGGAUUGGGUUCAGCCAAUAGAUGUUGAAUUAGGCCUAUGAAUGACUCCUUCAUUUUCUUGGCCUUAGCUCGCGUAAUGGGACCCAAAGGAAUUUUAAGGGCAUCACGAACCAUUCUU